GGGAGGGGGGGCAAGCGUUGUCGGAAUUACUGGGCGUAAAGGGCGCGUAGGGCGGUAUGCCAUGUCAGGGGGUGAAAGGGCCUGGGCUCGACCCAGGAACUGCCUUUGAAACUGGCAAACUAGAGUCCGAUAGAGGAUGGCGGAAUUCCCAGUGUAGAGGUGAAAUUCGUAGAUAUUGGGAAGAACACCAGUGGCGAAGGCGGCCAUCUGGAUCGGCACUGACGCUGAGGCGCGAAAGCGUGGGGAGCAAACAGGAUUAGAUACCCUGGUAGUCCACGCCGUAAACGAUGUGUGCUAGACGUUGGGGGUCUUAGACCCUGGGUGUCGUAGCUAACGCGUUAAGCACACCGCCUGGGGAGUACGGCCGCAAGGUUA
rnacentral:rRNA from 1 species